rnacentral:rRNA from 1 species
AGCAGACGCCGCGGUAAUACGUAGGGUGCAAGCGUUAAUCGGAAUUACUGGGCGUAAAGCGUGCGCAGGCGGUUAUAUAAGACAGAUGUGAAAUCCCCGGGCUCAACCUGGGAACUGCAUUUGUGACUGUAUAGCUAGAGUACGGCAGAGGGGGAUGGAAUUCCGCGUGUAGCAGUGAAAUGCGUAGAUAUGCGGAGGAACACCGAUGGCGAAGGCAAUCCCCUGGGCCUGUACUGACGCUCAUGCACGAAAGCGUGGGGAGCAAACAGGAUUAGAUACCCCUGUAGUCCCUGUCUCUUAUAC